AGUUGGUCACACUGUAGUCUGUGUGAUGAUCACAAACUUGACGUGACAGCAGUUGUUAUGGCAGUAUGUUUAUCAAGCGUUAAACGCAGUAAUUGUAUUGGUGUUACCUUUUUGUACACCAUUAUUUUCACACAAUGGAAGGUGGUGGGAAAGUAGCCGUAGAAGAAUAUGUUGAAAAUUUCUUAGCCGAGAAUUCUGCUUUAAGAAGAAAGCUGCAGAGUAAGGCUGAAGCAUUGUUAAUUCUUAGCAAGGAAUUAGACCAAUGCCGAACAGAGAGAGACCAGUUUAAGUUGAUGGCGGAGCAGCUUCAAGAUCGAUAUUCUGCUCUCAAGAAAAAAUCUCAUGAGAUGGGUUUGAGUAAGCUGUCUUUAUAUUAUGACGGAAUUGAUUCAUAUGGUGCUAAUGCUCCGAGCAUACUACAGGUGCUAGGGGAGACCAAAGAACAAAAUAAAGCACUCAAAAUGGAAGCAGAAGAUCUGAAACAAAAACUUAGAGAUGCUCAAGGUGAUAUAAAGGUACUCAGAGAGCACUUAAAUCAGCAGCGUAAUGCUCCGAUUGUCAGAGAUAAUGAAGCAUUUCCUUCCCACCAGAGGGAAGAAUUAGUUCAGCAGUUGGAGACACUGAAUCAAAGGUGCACACAGAUGGCUCUUGAUCUUCAGGCUGUUCUGGAUGAAAAGGAGGAUUUAGUGACAGAACGAGAUGCAUACAAGUGUAAAGUUCACCGACUUAACCAUGAACUGCAUGUAGUUUUGAAGGGCGACAGUAACAAGGUUAUGGACGUUGAUGCUUUGGUCAUGGAAAAUAGAUAUUUACAAGACCGACUGCAACAGUGUGAAGAAGAAAAAGAAUUGUCAAAUCAGACAGUCGUGAAGUAUAAGAGCAUGUUGGAUAAGAAACGCAAUAAGGGAGCUGUGAAACUGGGAAGUAACAGCAGCACUGGAAUGAUAAUGUCUCAUAAGCAAGUGCAACAACUUCUUGAAAAUGGCACUGCUACACAGCUACCAAAUACUGCAGCCACUGUGGCAGAUCUGAAAAGUCUCUGCCUUGCACUUCUUGAGGCGCUGGGUGACAAGACUCUGGCAUUGUCACAUCAGAAAAAAGCUAACAGCUUUGGAGGAGCCAGCCAUCUUCUGAGAAAGCUGUGUGAUGGACACUACAGCCUUCCUGUCUGCCUUCUAAACUUAUGGAGUGCAGCAAUGUGCAUAUUGCCAUGGACAGUAUCAGCUGAAGAAAUACAACUUGGACAGCAGAGCUGUGCACUGCCUGCAUUCCCUCUACAGUGAACAUAUUUUGUAAGAACUUGGGUCUGAAGCAUUGGCCUAUAUUGAUGGGGGCACUGUAUCAUGGUCUGAAAACUGACUACUGAAAGUUCUGGGAUCCAUACUUGCUUAAAUUGAGGCCACCAUUGGUGUGUGUGUGUGUGUGUGUGUGUGUGUGUGUGUGUUAAUGAUAAACCUUCCAGCUGAAUACUUGCCUCCACAUCAUUCUUCAAGGAUCUGAUCAUCAAGGAAACUGUUGAAGCCAUCAAAGGACAUAAUCACAUUGAUGGCUUCAAUUUCCGUAGAGUAUGGAAUAUAGUCCUUUCAGCAGUCGACUGUCAGAAGCCGUGAUAUUAUCCCCUUAUCAAUGUGGCCUAAUUCUAUAACUAGAGUCCUCCACCAAUGAUAUCUGUUGCAGACUGCAUCCAGUUAGUUCACAGCUCUGCAACCUGAUUGAUAUUUCUUUAGCUGCUAUUGUAUGCAGCUACAUGCGUGUCUUAUGGUUCACUCCAAAGACAACAGGGCAUUUGCAGCCAAAAUAUCAGAAAUGGAGAAGAAUUGUUACAGCUGCAUUCUCAGAACAUGGAUCAAAAGGAUUCUGGCAGGGCGCAUUAAAGAACUGGAGUAUCGAUUAGAAAGGAUAGAAGGAGGACGGGUUGCAGCAUUUCCAUCCCAGAUACUUCUUGAAGGCUACAGCAGUGCAACCGUAGACCGUGAAGUGGAA